rnacentral:rRNA from 1 species
CCCGCACAAGCAGCGGAGCGUGUGGUUUAAUUCGAUGUUACACGAAGAACCUUACCAGGGUUUGACAUGCAAGUGGUAGGAAGCCGAAAGGUGACCGACCCUUCGGGGAGCUUGCACAGGUGCUGCAUGGCUGUCGUCAGCUCGUGUCGUGAGAUGUUCGGUUAAGUCCGCUAACGAGCGCAACCCUCGCUGUGUGUUAUAUGUGUCACACGGGACUGCCGGUCUUAAGCCGGAGGAAGGUGGGGAUGAUGUCAAGUCAGCAUGGCCUUUAUAUCCUGGGCUACACACACGCUACAAUGGCCAACACAAUAGGUUGCUAAGCCGCGAGGUGGCGCCAAUCCAUAAAGUUGGUCUCAGUUCAGAUUGUAGGCUGCAACCCGCCUGCAUGAAGUUGGAAUCGCUAGUAAUCGCUGAUCAGCAGGCAGCGGUGAAUACGUUCCCGGGCCUU